rnacentral:rRNA from 1 species
UACGGAGGGUGCAAGCGUUGUCCGGAUUUAUUGGGCUUAAAGGGUGCGUAGGUGGCUUAUUACGUCAGUGUUUAAAGUCUGCAGCUUAACUGUAGGUAUGGCAUUGAUACUGAUAGGCUUGAGUAAAGUUGAGGUAGGCGGAAUUGAAGGUGUAGCGGUGAAAUGCAUAGAUAUCUUCAAGAACACCGAUUGCGAAGGCAGCUUACUAAGCUUUAACUGACACUGAGGCACGAAAGCGUGGGGAUCAAACAGG